CCUACGGGAGGCAGCAGUGAGGAAUAUUGGUCAAUGGUCGGGAGACUGAACCAGCCAAGCCGCGUGAGGGAUGAAGGUACAGCGUAUCGUAAACCUCUUUUGUCAGGGAACAAAGGCGGGGACGUGUCCCCGGAUGAGUGUACCUUACGAACAAGCAUCGGCUAACUCCGUUCCAGCAGCCGCGGUAAUACGGAGGAUGCGAGCGUUAUCCGGAUGUGUUGGGUUAAAGGGGUGCGCAGGCGGUCUGUUAAGUCAGCGGUCAAAGCCCGGGGCUCAACCCCGGCCAGGCGUUGAAACUGGCAGGCUCGAGUGGGAGAGAAGGAGGCGGAAUGCGCGGUGUAGCGGUGAAAUGCAUAGAUAUCGCGCAGAACUCCGAUUGCGAAGGCAGCAGGCCGGCUCCACACUGACGCUGAGGCACGAAAGCGUGGGUAUCGAACAGGAUUAGAUACCCCAGUAGUC
rnacentral:rRNA from 1 species